rnacentral:rRNA from 1 species
CUCAAUGAAUUGGCGGAGGCGCGCACAAGCGGUGGAGCAUGUGGUUUAAUUCGAUGCAACGCGAAGAACCUUACCUACUCUUGACAUCCUGCGAAUUCGGUAGAGAUACCUUAGUGCCUUCGGGAACGCAGAGACAGGUGCUGCAUGGCUGUCGUCAGCUCGUGUUGUGAAAUGUUGGGUUAAGUCCCGUAACGAGCGCAACCCUUGUCCUUAUUUGCCAGCGCGUAAUGGCGGGAACUCUAAGGAGACUGCCGGUGACAAACCGGAGGAAGGUGGGGACGACGUCAAGUCAUCAUGGCCCUUACGAGUAGGGCUACACACGUGCUACAAUGGUCGGUACAAAGGGUUGCCAACUCGCGAGAGUGAGCCAAUCCCGAAAAGCCGAUCUCAGUCCGGAUCGGAGUCUGCAACUCGACUCCGUGAAGUCGGAAUCGCUAGUAAUCGUAGAUCAGAAUGCUACGGUGAAUACGUUCCCGGGCCUUGUACACACCGCCCG